rnacentral:rRNA from 1 species
UACGUAGGGGGCUAGCGUUGUCCGGAAUCAUUGGGCGUAAAGCGCGUGUAGGCGGUCCGGUAAGUCCGCUGUGAAAGUCGGGGGCUCAACCCUCGAAAGCCGGUGGAAACUGUCGGGCUAGAGUGCGGAAGAGGCGAGUGGAAUUCCUGGUGUAGCGGUGAAAUGCGCAGAUAUCAGGAGGAACACCAAUUGCGAAGGCAGCUCGCUGGGACGUUACUGACGCUGAGAUACGAAAGCGUGGGUAGCAAACAGG